rnacentral:rRNA from 1 species
CCUACGGGUGGCUGCAGUGGGGGAUAUUGCACAAUGGGGGGAACCCUGAUGCAGCGACGCCGCGUGGGUGAAGGAGUGCUUCGGCAUGUAAAGCCCUAUCGGCAGGGAAGAAGCAAGACGGUACCUGACUAAGAAGCCCCGGCUAACUACGUGCCAGCAGCCGCGGUAAUUCGUAGGGGGCGAGCGUUCUCCGGAUUCACUGGGUGUAAAGGGAGCGUAGACGGCCAUGCGAGCCAGGGGUGAAAGCCCGGGGCCCAACCCCGGGACUGCCCUUGGAACUGUGCGGCGAGAGUGCGGGAGGGGCAGGCGGAAUUCCGGGGGUAGCGGUGAAAUGCGGAGAUAUCAGGAGGAACACCGGCGGCGAAGGCGGCCUGCUGGACUGCGACUGACGUUGAGGCUCGAAAGCGUGGGGAGCGAACAGGAUUAGAUACCCUAGUAGUC